ACUUCGAGAGUGGUCUGUGGCAAGCAGCAAUUUCUAACCCAAGCUACUUCCUCACUCUGGUCUAGUGGGUGGCUCCACCAGGAGAUGGGAUCAUGGCCUAAGGAUCAGAGCAAGCAGCAGGAGGGUCCUCUCUCUUUGAACUGGCAUUUUACCAGAAUAGAUGCUCAUCAGAUUAUGCCUCUAGAAUCUGUGACUCAUCUUGCCCUCAAUUCAAUUACUUCAGAUGAUCUGUAAAUUUUCAAUAAUGGCAAUACAUUCAUUCUGCCAUUUGGAGGAGCCUGUGCCACAGAAUAAUGAUCUGAAGAAAGCUCACUCAUUUGCAAGGAAGAGUCUUCAUUUGGGAAUUAGCACUGAUGCGGCUCAAGGGUGCUUUUUCAAGUCCAGGAACUUGAAUUUCUUAUGUUCUCAUUGCAAACUGUGGGGAUUCUUUAACUGGUGAUGGGUUUUGUGUUUCAACCAGCAGGCAAAUAAAUGAUAAUUUGGGAAAAAAGCCCCAACAGCCAAAUGCUUCUUAUCAGACUCUUUCAGCAGAACUGUUAUUUUCCUAGCACAACCUCUGGUGCAAAGGAUAAAAUUGGGUUUUUGUCGAAGAACAGAGUCCUGUAUCUGAAGUAUCAGAAGAAACCGUUUUGGUAGGUGUGGGUUGCUUGUCAGAAAUCCGUUCCAAAGCUUGAAUGCAAAGGAAGCAGGGUACUAAUGAUGAAUAAGAAUGGAUAUCUUGAGGAUAACAAUGGAUAUGGCAUCUUCAAAAGCAGUGGCAUUCUGGUCCUAGCCCUGUAACUGGCUUUGUUCAAAUGGACCUCAAGAGCCUGGGGGCCUGAUGAAGUCCAUGGAACUCUGGUGACUGCAGGUUCUCACUCUGAAGAUCUGAUUGUAGGACCGAACCUUAAUUUCUAUUUUGUUUUCCUGUCUGUUUGCUUCUUAAAUGAUGAAAAUUAUCCUUUGAAAUGGUGUUGUCUUUGAGUCUCAUGCACAUCCACUUUAGUAGUGUUCAGACACUGUGUGCUCGGGAUGUUGUCAGACAUUGUUAAAGUAUUUCUCUUCUGUUGUGUGCCUAAACCUCAUGAUUGCUCUGAUUAUUGUGUUAGAUUUUUCUAUUUAGUGCCUUUCUGCCUAAAAUGGAGAAGAUCAUCACCUGCAUUUUCAAUCGUGGUAUUUCUCUUAACUCAGAUUUUUAAGUCAGAGUAACUGUUGAAACUGUUCAGGUUAUUUUUAAAGAUGUAGGUAGAUUUGUUUAUUUCUUGCUGGACUCAAAGUAUAAUAUUUUAUUUUGCAAACUUGGUAGCCUAGUAUUACUAAAACCUUUCAAUAUGAUGAUACUCUGAUGUAAUAAAAUAAGUAGGAAA